CCUACGUGAGGCAGCAGUGAGGAAUAUUGGUCAAUGGGCGCGAGCCUGAACCAGCCAAGUAGCGUGAAGGAUGACUGCCCUACGGGUUGUAAACUUCUUUUAUAAAGGAAUAAAGUGAGGCACGUGUGCCUUUUUGUAUGUACUUUAUGAAUAAGGAUCGGCUAACUCCGUGCCAGCAGCCGCGGUAAUACGGCGGAUCCGAGCGUUAUCCGGCUUUAUUGGGUUUAAAGGGAGCGUAGAUGGGUUGUUAAGUCAGGUGUGAAAGUUUGCGGCUCAACCGUAAAAUUGCAAUUGAUACUGGCAGUCUUGAGUACAGUUGAGGUAGGCGGAAUUCGUGGUGUAGCGGUGAAAUGCUUAGAUAUCACGAAGAACUCCGAUUGCGAAGGCAGCUUACUAAACUGCCACUGACAUUGAUGCUCGAAAGUGUGGGUAUCAAACAGGAUUAGAUACCCUUGUAGUC
rnacentral:rRNA from 1 species